CGAUGGUUGUCGUCAGCUCGUGUCGUGAGAUGUUGGGUUAAGUCCCGCAACGAGCGCAACCCCUACGUUUAGUUGCUAACGCGUGAAGGCGAGCACUCUAGACGAACUGCCGUUGACAAAACGGAGGAAGGUGGGAUGACGUCAAAUCAUUAUGCCCCUUAUGUUCUGGGCUACACACGUGCUACAAUGGCCGGUACAGACGGACGCAAAGCCGCGAGGUGGAGCAAAUCCUAAAAAGCCGGUCUCAGUUCGGAUUGCAGGCUGCAAUUCGCCUGCAUGAAGUCGGAAUCGCUAGUAAUCGCAGGUCAGCAUACUGCGGUGAAUACGUUCCCGGGCCUU
rnacentral:rRNA from 1 species